rnacentral:lncRNA from 1 species
ACCCAUGCUAGUAUUAACGGCUUUUCCUCCAAAAGAUCACUAGAUGGUGCCCCUUUUCUUCAUGUGUGACAAAGCUGGAUUUCCCAAGAGAGGUGCUACUGCCGUGAAGAUCACCAUGCACUAGACUUAAUCUGAUUAUUUCCUACCAAGCUAUCAUUCUCUAAGGCAGGACAGAGGAAGUUGUUGGCAAGAUGGGCAGAUGGAUGGCAAGCUGCCACAUGGCCUGAAGCGUGCAGUCCACAUUUAUCUAGACCCAGAGGGCUUAGCAUGGCACAUUUUAGAGCCUACAGAACAAAUCACUUUUCUGUAAGUAUCUAUGCCAUACAACAAAGCUCAAAAACAAAUGGACAGCAAGGAAAAAU